GCAGAGCAGACGACGAGAGUUAAGGGAAAAGACACAUCAACCUCACUAUGGAGACUCAUUACAGUGAUUUUAGGAAGUUUCUGCCUUGUGCUCCUGGCAACAACAUGUGUCUUGACUACUCAGGUGCUCCAAGGAGCUUCUUCAAACAUCACCACCAACCAGACAGGACAUCACUGCAGUCCUUGUCCAGAGAACUGGAUCUUAUGUAG
rnacentral:lncRNA from 1 species